rnacentral:rRNA from 1 species
UACGUAGGGUGCGAGCGUUGUCCGUGAAUUAUUGGGCGUAAAGAGCUUGUAGGCGGUUUGUCGCGUCUGCUGUGAAAAUCCGGGGCUCAACCCCGGACUUGCAGUGGGUACGGGCAGACUAGAGUGUGGUAGGGGAGACUGAAAUUCCUGGUGUAGCGGUGAAAUGCGCAGAUAUCAGGAGGAACACCGAUGGCGAAGGCAGUUCUCUGGGCCGUAACUGACGCUGAGGAGCGAAAGCGUGGGGAGCGAACAGG